UUAUAUCUUCGGGGUUAGGUGAAAGUCCUGACCGGCAGUAGAGCCUGCGAGCCUUUUGGGUUGAUUCGGUGAGAUUCCGAAGCCGACGGUAAAGUCCGGAUGAAAGAAGAUAAGC
rnacentral:ncRNA from 2 species